ACAUUGAUGGUGAAACGGUAUCAGGCUUGCCUUCCAUUCAGACCGGUACCCCUGUAGCAAGCGGCGUGGGUUCGACUCCUGCUCGAUGUA
rnacentral:tRNA from 1 species